rnacentral:rRNA from 1 species
UAACACAUGCAAGUCGAGGGGCAUCAGGUAGAAAGCUUGCUUUCUUUGCUGGCGACCGGCGCACGGGUGAGUAACACGUAUCCAACCUGCCCUUUACUCGGGGAUAGCCUUUCGAAAGAAAGAUUAAUACCCGAUAGCAUAAUGAUUCCGCAUGGUUUCAUUAUUAAAGGAUUCCGGUAAAGGAUGGGGAUGCGUUCCAUUAGGUUGUUGGUGAGGUAACGGCCCACCAAGCCUUCGAUGGAUAGGGGUUCUGAGAGGAAGGUCCCCCACAUUGGAACUGAGACACGGUCCAAACUCCUACGGGAGGCAGCAGUGAGGAAUAUUGGUCAAUGGGCGCUAGCCUGAACCAGCCAAGUAGCGUGAAGGAUGAAGGCUCUACGGGUCGUAAACUUCUUUUAUAUAAGAAUAAAGUGCAGUAUGUAUACUGUUUUGUAUGUAUUAUAUGAAUAAGGAUCGGCUAACUCCGUGCCAGCAGCCGCGGUAAUACGGAGGACCCGAGCGUUAUCCGGAUUUAUUGGGUUUAAAGGGAGCGUAGGUGGACUGGUAAGUCAGUUGUGAAAGUUUGCGGCUCAACCGUAAAAUUGCAGUUGAUACUGUCAGUCUUGAGUACAGUAGAGGUGGGCGGAAUUCGUGGUGUAGCGGUGAAAUGCUUAGAUAUCACGAAGAACUCCGAUUGCGAAGGCAGCUCACUGGACUGCAACUGACACUGAUGCUCGAAAGUGUGGGUAUCAAACAGGAUUAGAUACCCUGGUAGUCCACACAGUAAACGAUGAAUACUCGCUGUUUGCGAUAUACAGUAAGCGGCCAAGCGAAAGCAUUAAGUAUUCCACCUGGGGAGUACGCCGGCAACGGUGAAACUCAAAGGAAUUGACGGGGGCCCGCACAAGCGGAGGAACAUGUGGUUUAAUUCGAUGAUACGCGAGGAACCUUACCCGGGCUUAAAUUGCAGUGGAAUGAUGUGGAAACAUGUCAGUGAGCAAUCACCGCUGUGAAGGUGCUGCAUGGUUGUCGUCAGCUCGUGCCGUGAGGUGUCGGCUUAAGUGCCAUAACGAGCGCAACCCUUAUCUUUAGUUACUAACAGGUUAUGCUGAGGACUCUAGAGAGACUGCCGUCGUAAGAUGUGAGGAAGGUGGGGAUGACGUCAAAUCAGCACGGCCCUUACGUCCGGGGCUACACACGUGUUACAAUGGGGGGUACAGAAGGCAGCUAGCGGGUGACCGUAUGCUAAUCCCAAAAUCCUCUCUCAGUUCGGAUCGAAGUCUGCAACCCGACUUCGUGAAGCUGGAUUCGCUAGUAAUCGCGCAUCAGCCACGGCGCGGUGAAUACGUUCCCGGGCCUUGUACACACCGCCCGUCAAGCCAUGGGAGCCGGGGGUACCUGAAGUACGUAACCGCAAGGAUCGUCCUAGGGUAAAACUGGUGACUGGGGCUC